rnacentral:rRNA from 1 species
CUCAACCCCGGAAGUGCUGCUGAAACUGUUUGGCUUGAGUAUGGUAGAGGGAAGCGGAAUUCCUGGUGUAGCGGUGAAAUGCGUAGAUAUCAGGAGGAACACCGGUGGCGAAGGCGGCUUCCUGGACCAAUACUGACGCUGAGGCGCGAAGGCGUGGGUAGCAAACAGGAUUAGAUACCCUGGUAGUCCACGCAGUAAACGGUGAUCACUAGGUGUUGCGGGUAUUGAUACCUGCAGUGCCGGAGCUAACGCAUUAAGUGAUCCGCCUGGGGAGUACGGCCGCAAGGUUAAAACUCAAAGGAAUUGACGGGGGCCCGCACAAGCGGUGGAGCAUGUGGUUUAAUUCGACGCAACGCGAAGAACCUUACCUGGAUUUGACAUCUGGGGGAUUCUUAUGAAAAUAGGAAGUGCCCUUCGGGGAGCCC